GCGAAAACUUUACAAUACACGAAAGUGUGACAGGGCUACCCCGAGUGCCAUCCGCUGAGGAAGGCUUUUACCCAGUCUAGAACGCUGGGGGAAUAAGGAGAGGGCAAGUCUGGUGUCAGCCGCCGCGGUAAUACCAGCUCUCCGAGUGGUGUGGUUGUUUAUUGGGCCUAAAGCAUCCGUAGCUGGCUGAGUUAGUCCCUUGUUAAACCCACCGAUUUAAUCGUUGGUCUGCGGGGGAUACUGUUAGGCUAGGGGACGAGAGAGGCAGACGGUAUUCCCGGGGUAGGGGUGAAAUCCUAUAAUCCCGAGAAGACCACCAGUGGCGAAGGCUGUCUGCUAGAACGCGCCCGACGGUGAGGGAUGAAAGCUGGGGGAGCGAACCGGAUUAGAUACCCGGGUAGUCCCAGCUGUAAACGAUGCAGACUAGGUGUUUGGACGGCCACGUGCCGUUCUAGUGCCGCAGGGAAGCUGUUAAGUCUGCCGCCUGGGGAGUACGAUCGCAAGAUUGAAACU
rnacentral:rRNA from 1 species